GUCAAGAGCGGUGACUCAACUCGGAAGAAAGAAAGAAAUGUGUAGAAGAGAAAGACAAGCACGUAUUUUGCUCGUUAAUGCGUCUAUAACAUCGAGGAUCAAUAGCGUUCGGCGGCGGAUGGCGGGAACGUUUUUGUACUUGAUACUCUGCGGUGGAGUGUCAGCGUCGGUUAUUUUGUGAGAAAAGGCGUUCUUCUCUGAAGAAACAUGUUGCACCCUAUGAAAGGCCUGCAUUAAGCAAAGGAUUUUUACUUCCUGAAGGUAUUGCUUCCGAAGGAUUUCCUUGUCAACCAUUUCUUGCAUGACUUUCUGUGCAACGUGCAUGCACUGCCAGCACAGGGAAGCCUUCUAAGCAGAAGGCGUGAAUUAGUAAAGUUAAGUAUGAUUACACAAACUGCCUUUGCUGUGUAGUUGGGAUUUUGUUUCAUCUCCAUAAUGUCCAACAUGAUUAGUUUUAUUUGAUUUAAAGUAUGCCAUUUACGGUUUCAAGUAUGUCGUUGAUAGUUGAUUAAAAUAUGCCCUUUACAGUUUCAAGUUUAUAGUUGAUAGUUUAUUGUUACACGUACCUUGUGAAAAACCAAUAUAUUCCCACCAGCAGAGUUUCUCUACGGAAUAAAAAGUUCCAGUUGUAGAAAGGAUGUGUAAUGUAUUGACCCCUUUUUGCAGUAUAUGUGUGUUCCAUUGUCAUUCUAUAUCUGUAUGACUUUUAUGUACUGAUGAUGUUCUCAAUUCUUAUUAUUCUAUACAACUGAAAUUUUGACUUUUUGUUUUGACUGGUUUUCUCUGUGCUCUGUUUGUUAUAUUCAGCUCAAGCACGCGUACCUUCAUUUCACUGUUGUGUGGGUACCAAACUACCAAUGGCACAAGGAACACGGUAUUGAGUUGAUUCUUGGAACUAGACUUGUUGAUGUGAAGUAGAAGAUAUCGCUAACUGCAAAAAGGAGAAACAAUAAGAUACAAAUACUCCAUAUCAUAGUUCAUUGUUCUUUCUUCCAUUUAAGUUGCAUCUGGUUGUUCAAGAAUUUGCGAGAAUGUAUCGUUGAAAAAUUGGACCUCAGUUACUCUUA